UGUGGGAGCGGGCUUGCUCGCGAAAGCUUUUUGUCAGUUGAUGCAUCUGGUGACUGACACACCGCAUUCGCGAGCAAGCCCGCUCCCACA
rnacentral:misc_RNA from 1 species